GACGAACGCUGGCGGCGUGCUCAACACAUGCAAGUCGAACGAGACGAUCGAAAGCUUGCUUUCAAAAGUCGAGUGGCAAACGGGUGAGUAACGCGUAGACAACCUGCCUUUGAGAUGGGGACAACAGUUCGAAAGGACUGCUAAUACCGAAUGUUGUAUAUUUUCCACAUGGAAGAUAUAUUAAAGAUGGCCUCUAUUUAUAAGCUAUCGCUCAAAGAUGGGUCUGCGUCUGAUUAGCUGGUUGGUGGGGUAACGGCCUACCAAGGCGACGAUCAGUAGCCGGUCUGAGAGGAUGAACGGCCACAUUGGGACUGAGACACGGCCCAGACUCCUACGGGAGGCAGCAGUGGGGAAUCUUCCACAAUGGACGAAAGUCUGAUGGAGCAACGCCGCGUGAGUGAAGAAGGGUUUCGGCUCGUAAAGCUCUGUUGUCGGGGACGAAUGUGCAGUAUUUGAAUAAAGUAGUGUAAUGACAGUACCUGACGAGGAAGCCACGGCUAACUACGUGCCAGCCGCCGCGGUAA
rnacentral:rRNA from 1 species